rnacentral:tRNA from 1 species
GGAGAGGUGGCUCAGCGGGUAAGAGCACUGACUGCUCUUCCAGAGGUCCUGAGUUCAAUUCCCAGCAACUACA